CUGCAGUCCCUUCCUCCCCCUGCAGUCCCUUCCUCCCCCUGCAGUCCCUUCCUCCCCCUGCAGUCCCUUCCUCCCCCCCAGUCCCUUCCUCCCGCGGCUAUAAGGCCUUUUGUUGGGGAUCCAGAAUCUAGCCCAGCUAAACAUUUCAAAGCAACACUUGUAUUUUUGUCUUUUUUUUAAACUCUCUCAACGUUUUACAUGUUGUGGACAAUGUUGUGGACAAAAAUCCACAGUCCUUUACUGCUCAACCGGAAUAAAACAUGUUUAAAUGACCAGGGUUUCAUUUCAUCUUAGGUCAUUUGAUGUAUUUAGGGAUAUUGUACUGUAUAAAAUGUUACCAAUGACUGAGGUCAGGAGAGAUACUGUGUCGGCUCAUAUAAAAUGUUACCAAUGACUGAGGUCAGGAGAGAUACUGUGUCAGCUCAUAUAAAAUGUUACCAAUGACUGAGGUCAGGAGAGAUACUGUGUCAGCUCAUAUAAAAUGUUACCAAUGACUGAGGUCAGGAGAGAUACUGUGUCAGCUCAUAUAAAAUGUUACCAAUGACUGAGGUCAGGAGAGAUACUGUGUCAGCUCAUAUAAAAUGUUACCAUUGACAGGUCAGGAGAGAUACUGUGUCAGCUCAUAUAAAAUGUUACCAAUGACUGAGGUCAGGAGAGAUACUGUGUCAGCUCAUAUAAAAUGUUACCAAUGACUGAGGUCAGGAGAGAUACUGUGUCGGCUCAUAUAAAAUGUUACCAAUGACUGAGGUCAGGAGAGAUACUGUGUCAGCUCAUAUAAAAUGUUACCAAUGACAGGUCAGGAGAGAUACUGUGUCAGCUCAUAUUAAAUGUUACCAAUGACAGGUCAGGAGAGAUACUGUGUCGGCUCAUAUAAAAUGUUACCAAUGACUGAGGUCAGGAGAGAUACUGUGUCAGCUCAUAUAAAAUGUUACCAAUGACUGAGGUCAGGAGAGAUACUGUGUCGGCUCAUAUAAAAUGUUACCAAUGACUGAGGUCAGGAGAGAUACUGUGUCUGCUCAUAUAAAAUGUUACCAAUGACUGAGAUCAGGAGAGAUACUGUGUCAGCUCAUAUAAAAUGUUACCAAUGACUGAGGUCAGGAGAGAUACUGUGUCAGCUCAUAUAAAAUGUUACCAAUGACUGAGGUCAGGAGAGAUACUGUGUCAGCUCAUAUAAAAUGUUACCAAUGACUGAGGUCAGGAGAGAUACUGUGUCAGCUCAUAUAAAAUGUUACCAAUGACAGGUCAGGAGAGAUACUGUGUCAGCUCAUAUAAAAUGUUACCAAUGACUGAGGUCAGGAGAGAUACUGUGUCGGCUCAUAUAAAAUGUUACCAAUGACUGAGGUCAGGAGAGAUACUGUGUCAGCUCAUAUAAAAUGUUACCAAUGACUGAGGUCAGGAGAGAUACUGUGUCGGCUCAUAUAAAAUGUUACCAAUGACUGAGGUCAGGAGAGAUACUGUGUCAGCUCAUAUAAAAUGUUACCAAUGACUGAGGUCAGGAGAGAUACUGUGUCGGCUCAUAUAAAAUGUUACCAAUGACUGAGGUCAGGAGAGAUACUGUGUCAGCUCAUAUAAAAUGUUACCAAUGACUGAGGUCAGGAGAGAUACUGUGUCAGCUCAUAUAAAAUGUUACCAAUGACUGAGGUCAGGAGAGAGAUACUGUGUCAGCUCAUAUAAAAUGUUACCAAUGACUGAGGUCAGGAGAGAUACUGUGUCGGCUCAUAUAAAAUGUUACCAAUGACUGAGGUCAGGAGAGAUACUGUGUCGGCUCAUAUAAAAUGUUACCAAUGACUGAGGUCAGGAGAGAUACUGUGUCAGCUCAUAUAAAAUGUUACCAAUGACAGGUCAGGAGAGAUACUGUGUCAGCUCAUAUAAAAUGUUACCAAUGACUGAGGUCAGGAGAGAUACUGUGUCAGCUCAUAUAAAAUGUUACCAAUGACAGGUCAGGAGAGAUACUGUGUCAGCUCAUAUAAAAUGUUACCAAUGACUGAGGUCAGGAGAGAUACUGUGUCGGCUCAUAUAAAAUGUUACCAAUGACUGAGGUCAGGAGAGAUACUGUGUCAGCUCAUAUAAAAUGUUACCAAUGACUGAGAUCAGGAGAGAUACUGUGUCAGCUCAUAUAAAAUGUUACCAAUGACUGAGGUCAGGAGAGAUACUGUGUCGGCUCAUAUAAAAUGUUACCAAUGACAGGUCAGGAGAGAUACUGUGUCAGCUCAUAUAAAAUGUUACCAAUGACUGAGGUCAGGAGAGAUACUGUGUCAGCUCAUAUAAAAUGUUACCAAUGACAGGUCAGGAGAGAUACUGUGUCAGCUCAUAUAAAAUGUUACCAAUGACUGAGGUCAGGAGAGAUACUGUGUCGGCUCAUAUAAAAUGUUACCAAUGACUGAGGUCAGGAGAGAUACUGUGUCAGCUCAUAUAAAAUGUUACCAAUGACUGAGGUCAGGAGAGAUACUGUGUCAGCUCAUAUAAAAUGUUACCAAUGACUGAGGUCAGGAGAGAUACUGUGUCAGCUCAUAUAAAAUGUUACCAAUGACAGGUCAGGAGAGAUACUGUGUCAGCUCAUAUAAAAUGUUACCAAUGACUGAGGUCAGGAGAGAUACUGUGUCGGCUCAUAUAAAAUGUUACCAAUGACUGAGGUCAGGAGAGAUACUGUGUCAGCUCAUAUAAAAUGUUACCAAUGACUGAGAUCAGGAGAGAUACUGUGUCAGCUCAUAUAAAAUGUUACCAAUGACUGAGGUCAGGAGAGAUACUGUGUCGGCUCAUAUAAAAUGUUACCAAUGACUGAGGUCAGGAGAGAUACUGUGUCAGCUCAUAUAAAAUGUUACCAAUGACUGAGGUCAGGAGAGAUACUGUGUCGGCUCAUAUAAAAUGUUACCAAUGACUGAGGUCAGGAGAGAUACUGUGUCAGCUCAUAUAAAAUGUUACCAAUGACAGGUCAGGAGAGAUACUGUGUCAGCUCAUAUAAAAUGUUACCAAUGACUGAGGUCAGGAGAGAUACUGUGUCGGCUCAUAUAAAAUGUUACCAAUGACUGAGGUCAGGAGAGAUACUGUGUCAGCUCAUAUAAAAUGUUACCAAUGACUGAGGUCAGGAGAGAUACUGUGUCAGCUCAUAUAAAAUGUUACCAAUGACUGAGAUCAGGAGAGAUACUGUGUCAGCUCAUAUAAAAUGUUACCAAUGACUGAGGUCAGGAGAGAUACUGUGUCGGCUCAUAUAAAAUGUUACCAAUGACUGAGGUCAGGAGAGAUACUGUGUCAGCUCAUAUAAAAUGUUACCAAUGACUGAGGUCAGGAGAGAUACUGUGUCAGCUCAUAUAAAAUGUUACCAAUGACUGAGGUCAGGAGAGAGAUACUGUGUCAGCUCAUAUAAAAUGUUACCAAUGACUGAGGUCAGGAGAGAUACUGUGUCGGCUCAUAUAAAAUGUUACCAAUGACUGAGGUCAGGAGAGAUACUGUGUCGGCUCAUAUAAAAUGUUACCAAUGACUGAGGUCAGGAGAGAUACUGUGUCAGCUCAUAUAAAAUGUUACCAAUGAUGUUACCUAGACAUCUCCCAGACACCUCCUCCCAGACAUCUCCUCCUAGACAUCUCCUCCCAGACAUCUCCUCCCAGACAUCUCCUCCUAGACAUCUCCUCCUAGACAUCUCCUCCCAGACAUCUGCUCCCAGACACCUCCUCCCAGACAUCUCCUCCUAGACAUCUCCUCCCAGACAUCUCCUCCCAGACAUCUCCUCCUAGACAUCUCCUCCUAGACAUCUCCUCCCAGACACCUCCUCCCAGACAUCUCCUCCUAGACAUCUCCUCCCCUAGACA